ACCGGCGCACGGGCGCGUAACGCGUAUGCAAUCUACCUUUUACAGAGGGAUAGCCCAGAGAAAUUUGGAUUAAUACCUCAUAGUAUUAUUGAAUGGCAUCAUUUAAUAAUUAAAGUUCCAACGGUAAAAGAUGAGCAUGCGUCCCAUUAGCUAGAUGGUAAGGUAACGGCUUACCAUGGCGACGAUGGGUAGGGGUCCUGAGAGGGAGAUCCCCCACACUGGUACUGAGACACGGACCAGACUCCUACGGGAGGCAGCAGUGAGGAAUAUUGGUCAAUGGGCGCAAGCCUGAACCAGCCAUGCCGCGUGCAGGAUGACGGUCCUAUGGAUUGUAAACUGCUUUUGUACAGGAAGAAACACUGGUUCGUGAACCAGCUUGACGGUACUGUAAGAAUAAGGAUCGGCUAACUCCGUGCCAGCAGCCGCGGUAAUACGGAGGAUCCAAGCGUUAUCCGGAAUCAUUGGGUUUAAAGGGUCCGUAGGCGGUUUUGUAAGUCAGUGGUGAAAGCCCAUCGCUCAACGGUGGAACGGCCAUUGAUACUGCAAGACUUGAAUUACUAGGAAGUAACUAGAAUAUGUAGUGUAGCGGUGAAAUGCUUAGAUAUUACAUGUAAUACCAAUUGCGAAGGCAGGUUACUACUAGUGGAUUGACGCUGAUGGACGAAAGCGUGGGGAGCGAACAGGAUUAGAUACCCUGGUAGUCCACGCCGU
rnacentral:rRNA from 1 species